rnacentral:rRNA from 1 species
AUGGCCGUCGGUGGUGAGCACGAACCCGUUCCUGCGGGUCCCGUCGACGCUGAGGCUGCCGUUGUGCGAGAAGCUCUUGAACGUCAGCGAUACGUUCUUCCCGGUGUCCUUGUCGAACCCGAGCCUCGCUCCGGGGAGCAGCGCGUCGCUGGGAUAGUCGAAGCUCUGCCACAGGACCGGCGAGGAGUUUGCCUGGUCCCUCACCACCAGGUUGCCGUUGUCGAGGAGGACCGCCACGGCGGCGGACGACACAUUGCCGCCCGGCGACGGCGUGCACCAGAGGCUGGCUCCAUUCUGCUUGAUGCAGAGACUGUCGGCGAAGAUCUCCAGCGACGCGGCGGGCAGGUCGGUGAUGACGACCCUGUUCCCGAGCCAGAAGGUAGGGCUGUGGCACAUAUUCCUGAACCGGACACCCAGGAAGUAGUGGAUGCCGGGGCCUGGGGAGAAGAAGCCCAGCUCGAAGCCGCCGCUCCUGGAGACCACGGUCUCGUUCCCGGAGAUGCCCUCGCCGGGGAGGAUGGUGUCCGUGGUGGCAGACGCGGCAAACAGGGCGCCGUCAACGAACAGGAGGAAGAGAAAUACCAGCGGCGCCCGUUUGGCUGGGGAGAGGCCGAGGCCGAGCGAACGAGCUGCGCCGCCGCCAUUGGUGUGCAUAACUUUCAGAGGAACGAACUGGGAACCUCUCCCAAUCCUCCAGCCCGACCAGUGGUGACGGUGAACGCCCGUCGCCGCCGCCAUUGGCGCCGCCGGCCCGUCUUGCUCUCAAACCUUGCUCCAGUUCAGCAAGCUUCAGAAGUUCAGAGCUGA